rnacentral:rRNA from 1 species
AUCCUCCAAGGCUAAAUACUCCUGACUGACCGAUAGUGAACCAGUACCGUGAGGGAAAGGCGAAAAGAACCCCUGUGAGGGGAGUGAAAUAGAUCCUGAAACCGCAUGCAUACAAGCAGUGGGAGCACCUUCGUGGUGUGACUGCGUACCUUUUGUAUAAUGGGUCAGCGACUUAUAUUCAGUAGCAAGGUUAACCGUAUAGGGGAGCCGUAGAGAAAUCGAGUCUUAAUAGGGCGUUUAGUUGCUGGGUAUAGACCCGAAACCAGGCGAUCUAUCCAUGAGCAGGUUGAAGGUUGGGUAACACUAACUGGAGGACCGAACCCACUGUCGUUGAAAAGCCAGGGGAUGACUUGUGGAUAGGGGUGAAAGGCUAAUCAAGCCUGGUGAUAGCUGGUUCUCCCCGAAAGCUAUUUAGGUAGCGCCUCGGACGAAUACCAUAGGGGGUAGAGCACUGUUUCGGCUAGGGGGUCAUCCCGACUUACCAAACCGAUGCAAACUCCGAAUACCUAUGAGUACUAUCCGGGAGACAGACUGCGGGUGCUAACGUCCGUAGUCAAGAGGAAAACAAUCCAGACCGCCAGCUAAGGCCCCAAAAUCAUAGUUAAGUGGGAAACGAUGUGGGAAGGCAUAGACAGCUAGGAGGUUGGCUUAGAAGCAGCCACCCUUUAAAGAAAGCGUAAUAGCUCACUAGUCGAGUCGGCCUGCGCGGAAGAUGUAACGGGGCUAAAA